rnacentral:rRNA from 1 species
ACGCUGGCGGCAGGCUUAACACAUGCAAGUCGAACGGUAACAGGAGAAAGCUUGCUUUCUUGCUGACGAGUGGCGGACGGGUGAGUAAUGCUUGGGAAUCUGGCUUAUGGAGGGGGAUAACGACGGGAGACUGUCGCUAAUACCGCGUAGAGUCGAGAGACGAAAGUGCGGGACCGCAAGGCCGCAUGCCAUAGGAUGAGCCCAAGUGGGAUUAGGUAGUUGGUGGGGUAAUAGCCUACCAAGCCGACGAUCUCUAGCUGGUCUGAGAGGAUGACCAGCCACACCGGGACUGAGACACGGCCCGGACUCCUACGGGAGGCAGCAGUGGGGAAUAUUGCGCAAUGGGGGCAACCCUGACGCAGCCAUGCCGCGUGAAUGAAGAAGGCCUUCGGGUUGUAAAGUUCUUUCGGUAUUGAGGAAGGUUGUUGUGUUAAUAGCACGACAAAUUGACGUUAAAUACAGAAGAAGCACCGGCUAACUCCGUGCCAGCAGCCGCGGUAAUACGGAGGGUGCGAGCGUUAAUCGGAAUAACUGGGCGUAAAGGGCACGCAGGCGGACUUUUAAGUGAGGUGUGAAAUCCCCGGGCUUAACCUGGGAAUUGCAUUUCAGACUGGGAGUCUAGAGUACUUUAGGGAGGGGUAGAAUUCCACGUGUAGCGGUGAAAUGCGUAGAGAUGUGGAGGAAUACCGAAGGCGAAGGCAGCCCCUUGGGAAUGUACUGACGCUCAUGUGCGAAAGCGUGGGGUGCAAACAGGAUUAGAUACCCUGGUAGUCCACGCUGUAAACGCUGUCGAUUUGGGGAUUGGGCUUUAAGCUUGGUGCCCGAAGCUAACGUGAUAAAUCGACCGCCUGGGGAGUACGGCCGCAAGGUUAAAACUCAAAUGAAUUGACGGGGGCCCGCACAAGCGGUGGAGCAU